CCUACGGGAGGCAGCAGUUAGGAAUCUUGCGCAAUGGGCGAAAGCCUGACGCAGCGACGCCGCGUGCGGGAUGACGGCCUUCGGGUUGUAAACCGCUUUCAGCAGGGACGAUUAUGACGGUACCUGCAGAAGAAGCCCCGGCCAACUACGUGCCAGCAGCCGCGGUAAUACGUAGGGGGCAAGCGUUGUCCGGAUUUAUUGGGCGUAAAGAGCUCGUAGGCGGUUUGGUAAGUCGGGUGUGAAAUCUCCACGCUCAACGUGGAGGGGCCACUCGAUACUGCCAUGACUCGAGUCCGGUAGAGGAGUGUGGAAUUCCCGGUGUAGCGGUGAAAUGCGCAGAUAUCGGGAGGAACACCCGUAGCGAAGGCGGCACUCUGGGCCGGAACUGACGCUGAGGAGCGAAAGCGUGGGGAGCAAACAGGAUUAGAUACCCUGGUAGUCCACGCCGUAAACGUUGGGCACUAGGUGUGGGGAUCUAUCGACGGUUUCCGUGCCGAAGCUAACGCAUUAAGUGCCCCGCCUGGGGAGUACGGCCGCAAGGCUAAAACGUCAAAUGAAAUUGACGGCUGGAGAGUUGCGAGACGACACGAGGAGAGG
rnacentral:rRNA from 1 species